rnacentral:lncRNA from 1 species
GUCGUACAAAAUAAUAUUUCAAUGGAAAAAAAAAUAUAUGUGCUAAUAGUAUAUAUAUAUAAAUAUCCUUCCUUUUUAUUUUUUUUACAAUCAAGACAAUUAGCAAUAUCUAACAGUGUAUGGCAUAAGAUAAAUUGUUCUUUCGGAUUAAUUUUUCAACAUACACAAAUAAGUAUACAUAAGUAUAUACCUAAAUAUAUAUUUUGUUUUGAGAAAUUUAAAAUCUAGUUAAAAAAAAAAUAAAUAAAUAAAAAUAAAAAUAAGGAAUAACCCUUACGUUUUAAUUUGAAAUGUUGAAAUGAGUAAUAUAUUAAAUCACUUCCGUGUUUUAAAGGUAGUUACUGAAGAUAAUCCGUUAGUGACAUUUAAUUUAUUUGUAGCUAGUACGAAAGAUAAUACGAAUAAUGAUGGAUCAUGUAGUGAAAUAUUAUGUGUUGCUGUACUUGAUAAUAUAAUUAAUGGAGAACAUUUAAGAAAAUUUAUGACUAACUUUGGAGAUGUCGUUUUUUUUAAUAUUACUGAGAAUGAAAAUUUAUCAAUAAACUUAAAAAUAUUUGCAUAUUGUUUAUAUAUAAAGUUUAAAGAACAAGCUGCAAUAGAUGUUAUAUUAAGUUAUAGUGUUAAAAUAAAUGAAUACUUUAAAAAUAAUAUACAGGUACCAUAUUUUAUAAAAAUAGAAAAAAACAAUUAUAGUACCUACAUAAAAGAUUAUUAUAACCAGAAUUACAAUUUAUAUAAUGGUAGAAAAAUAAUAGUUAACGAUAUUAUAAAUUCAAAUAAAGUUAACAAAAAAAAAAAAAUUGUUAAUACAGUUGAUAGUGAUGGCUUUACGGUUGUUCAAAGGUCGUUGAAUAAACCGGAAAUAGUAAAUUCUGUUUUUUCCCAAACCGAUGAUAAACUUAGUUAUUUAAAAAAAAAAGAAAAAAAAAAAACUUAUGGAAAUUUUUAUUUAUUUAAAAAAAAAGACAGUCAUAAGCUAAAUUUUAUUUAUACAAAAGAAAUAGUAAAGAAAAAGCGAAAAGAAGUAAACCAAAAAAAAAAAAUAAUAAAAUAAAAAUUACCAAAUUCGUUUAAAGUUAUUUAUGUAAAUAUAUUCAAUUAGUGUAAAUAUGUACAUAUACAUAUAAAAAAAAAAUUAAAUAGAAAACAAAAAUUAAAAGUAAAAGUAAUUUUAUAAAACGCUAAAAAUUAUGAAGAUUGUGUAAAUGUAUAAAUGUAUUUGAUCUAUGUUUUAUUUUUUAAUUAUUUUUACGCAAAGUAUAUUUACGUUUUUUUUGUUUUGUUUUCAACUAUUUAAUGAUAAUUAUAUAUUUUUAAUACUUCUUGUUUUAGUCAUUUGAUUAAUUUUUUUUUUUAUAAAAAUUAUUCAUUUAUACUUACACGAUAAUAUACAUAAGAAGUAUUUAAUAAAAAAUAGUGAAACUGUAUUAAAAUAUGUUAA